GCCCAGACUCCUACGGGAGGCAGCAGUGGGGAAUAUUGCACAAUGGGGGAAACCCUGAUGCAGCGACGCCGCGUGAAGGAAGAAGUAUUUCGGUAUGUAAACUUCUAUCAGCAGGGAAGAAAAUGACGGUACCUGACUAAGAAGCCCCGGCUAACUACGUGCCAGCAGCCGCGGUAAUACGUAGGGGGCAAGCGUUAUCCGGAUUUACUGGGUGUAAAGGGGGCGCAGACGGCAGCGCAAGCCAGGAGUGAAAGCCCGGGGCCCAACCCCGGGACUGCUCUUGGAACUGCGCGGCUGGAGUGCAGGAGGGGCAGGCGGAAUUCCUGGUGUAGCGGUGAAAUGCGUAGAUAUCAGGAGGAACACCGGUGGCGAAGGCGGCCUGCUGGGCUGCGACUGACGUUGAGGCCCGAAAGCGUGGGGAGCAAACAGGAUUAGAUACCCCCGUAGC
rnacentral:rRNA from 1 species